AGGACGAACGCUGGCGGCGUGCUUAACACAUGCAAGUCGAGCGGUAAGGCCUUUCGGGGUACACGAGCGGCGAACGGGUGAGUAACACGUGGGUGAUCUGCCCUGCACUCUGGGAUAAGCCUGGGAAACUGGGUCUAAUACCGGAUAUGACCUGCUCUCGCAGUGGGGGGUGGGUGGAAAGAUUUAUCGGUGCAGGAUGGGCCCGCGGCCUAUCAGCUUGUUGGUGGGGUAAUGGCCUACCAAGGCGACGACGGGUAGCCGACCUGAGAGGGUGACCGGCCACACUGGGACUGAGACACGGCCCAGACUCCUACGGGAGGCAGCAGUGGGAAUAUGACACAAUGGGACGAAAGCCUAGAAUGGCAGGCGACGCCGCGUGGAGGAUGGAACGGUCCGUUCGGGUUAGUAAACCGUUCUUUCGAAGUCGAGGACGAAGCGACGAAGUGACGGUACUGCGAGAAGAAGCCACG
rnacentral:rRNA from 1 species